AAUUACUGGGCGUAAAGCGUGCGUAGGCGGAUGCUUGAGUCGGAUGUGAAAGCCCCGGGCUCAACCUGGGAAUGGCAUUCGAUACUGGGCAUCUAGAGUGUGGUAGAGGGGGGUAGAAUUCCUGGUGUAGCGGUGAAAUGCGUAGAUAUCAGGAGGAAUACCGGUGGCGAAGGCGACCCCCUGGACCAACACUGACGCUGAGGUACGAAAGCGUGGGUAGCAAACAGGAUUAGAUACCCUGGUAGUCCACGCCGUAAACGAUGUCAACUAGUCGUCGGGGACUUCGGUCUUUGGUGGCGCAGCUAACGCGUGAAGUUGACCGCCUGGGGAGUACGGCCGCAAGGUUAAAACUCAAAUGAAUUGACGGGGGCCCGCACAAGCGGUGGAGCAUGUGGUUUAAUUCGAUGCAACGCGAAAAACCUUACCUACCCUUGACAUCCUCGGAACUUUCCAGAGAUGGAUUGGUGCCUUCGGGAACCGAGAGACAGGUGCUGCAUGGCUGUCGUCAGCUCGUGUCGUGAGAUGUUGGGUUAAGUCCCGCAACGAGCGCAACCCUUGUCCCUAGUUGCCAUCAUUUAGUUGGGAACUCUAGGGAGACUGCCGGUGACAAGCCGGAGGAAGGUGGGGAUUACGUCAAGUCAUCAUGGCCCUUAUGGGUAGGGCUACACACGUGCUACAAUGGCCGGUACAGAGGGCAGCAAAGCCGCGAGGUAGAGCAAAUCCCAGAAAACCGGUCGUAGUCCGGAUUGCAGUCUGCAACUCGACUGCAUGAAGUCGGAAUCGCUAGUAAUCGCGGAUCAGCAUGCCGCG
rnacentral:rRNA from 1 species